UAAGGAAUAUUGCUCAAUGGGAGAAAUCCUGAAGCAGCAACGCCGCGUGGAGCAUGAAGGGUCUAUGACUUGUAAACUCCUGUAAAGAAGGAAAAAAUUCCCAUUUGAUGGGAGAUGAUGGUACUUCUGGAGUAAGCCCCGGCUAACUACGUGCCAGCAGCCGAGGUAAUACGUAGGGGGCAAGCGUUGUCCGGAUUUACUGGGUGUAAAGGGUGCUCAGGCGGAUUUGUAAGUCAGAGGUGAAAUCUUACAGCUUAACUGUGAAACUGCCUUUGAUACUGCAAGCCUAGAGUAUGGAAGAGAGUGAUGGAAUAUCUGGUGUAGCAGUGAAAUGCGUAGAUAUCAGAUAGAACACCAAUGGCGAAGGCAGUCACUUGGUCCAUUACUGACGCUAAAGCACGAAAGCGUGGGUAGCAAACA
rnacentral:rRNA from 1 species